AGUUUGAUCAUGGCUCAGAUUGAACGCUGGCGGCAGGCCUAACACAUGCAAGUCGAGCGGAUGAAGGGAGCUUGCUCCCUGAUUCAGCGGCGGACGGGUGAGUAAUGCCUAGGAAUCUGCCUAUUAGUGGGGGACAACGUUUCGAAAGGAACGCUAAUACCGCAUACGUCCUACGGGAGAAAGCAGGGGACCUUCGGGCCUUGCGCUAAUAGAUGAGCCUAGGUCGGAUUAGCUAGUUGGUGAGGUAAUGGCUCACCAAGGCGACGAUCCGUAACUGGUCUGAGAGGAUGAUCAGUCACACUGGAACUGAGACACGGUCCAGACUCCUACGGGAGGCAGCAGUGGGGAAUAUUGGACAAUGGGCGAAAGCCUGAUCCAGCCAUGCCGCGUGUGUGAAGAAGGUCUUCGGAUUGUAAAGCACUUUAAGUUGGGAGGAAGGGCAUUAACCUAAUACGUUAGUGUUUUGACGUUACCGACAGAAUAAGCACCGGCUAACUCUGUGCCAGC
rnacentral:rRNA from 1 species